rnacentral:rRNA from 1 species
CGUUACUCGGAAUUACUGGGCGUAAAGCGUGCGUAGGCGGUGCGUUAAGUCUGUCGUGAAAGCCCCGGGCUCAACCUGGGAAUGGCGAUGGAUACUGGCGCGCUAGAGUGCGGUAGAGGAGAGUGGAAUUCCCGGUGUAGCAGUGAAAUGCGUAGAGAUCGGGAGGAACAUCAGUUGCGAAGGCGGCUCUCUGGACCAGCACUGACACUGAGGCACGAAAGCGUGGGGAGCAAACAGG